rnacentral:lncRNA from 1 species
AACCAGCUAUUCUAAAUAUGUUCAAAAUGCUACAGGAAAGUAUGUCUAAAGAGCUAAAGAAAAGUGUGAAAAUGAUAACUCACCAAAUAGAGAAUUUUAUAAAGAGAUAAAUAUUAUAAAAGGAGCCACCACAGUGCGAUACCAUCUCACACCAGUUAGAAUGGCAAUCAUUAAAAAGUCAGGAAACAGCAGGUGCUGGAGAGGAUGUGGAGAAAUAGGAACACUUUUACACUGUUGGUGGGACUGUAAACUAGUUCAACCAUUGUGGAAGACAGUGUGG